rnacentral:rRNA from 1 species
GGACGAACGCUGGCGGCGUGCCUAACACAUGCAAGUCGAGCGGGGAUUUAAGUGGAAGUUCUUCGGAAUGGAGAUUUAAAUUCUAGCGGCGGACGGGUGAGUAACGCGUGAACAAUCUGUCCCGGACAGGGGGAUAACACUUGGAAACAGGUGCUAAUACCGCAUAAGACCACGGCCUCGCAUGGGGCUGAGGUAAAAGGAGCAAUCCGGUUCGGGGUGAGUUCGCGUCCGAUUAGCUAGUUGGUGAGGUAACGGCCCACCAAGGCGACGAUCGGUAGCCGGCCUGAGAGGGUGAACGGCCACAUUGGAACUGAGAGACGGUCCAAACUCCUACGGGAGGCAGCAGUGGGGAAUAUUGGGCAAUGGGCGAAAGCCUGACCCAGCAACGCCGCGUGAGGGAAGAAGGUUUUCGGAUUGUAAACCUCUGUCCUAUGGGACGAAGGAAGUGACGGUACCAUAGGAGGAAGCCCCGGCUAACUACGU